AUGCGCGCCGCGGCCCGCGCAUGCCCAGCGCGCGGCCGGGCUCGACCCACCGGGCUCGCGCUGGGGAGACGCCGGAGCCGGGCUGCGGGCGGCCGCGGGCGUGGCUGCGGCCCCGAACGGCAGCCCUGGGGAAGCCUUGGCCGGCGCGGGAGGGCCUGUCCCCGCCGCACCCGCCGCCGGGACAGGGCGGUCCGGCCCCGCUCGGCCCCUCAGCCCUGGGGCCGCCGCCCUGCCAACCAGCAGCUCCGCGAGUCGGCCUCACGCCCCGGCCCCGGCCCGGGCCCCUCACUCACUCCGACCGCGGCGGUGCCGGCAGGCGAAAGCGGACGACGACCGGGCGGCGCCGCGGCUGACGGGCCGCGCUCCUCCCACGCCUCACGCCGCGGGCGCACAGCGGUCCCGGCCCGGCGGCGGCGGCGGCGGCGGCGGCGGGCUCGCGCCCUCGGGGCCGUGCUGCGUCGGCGCGGGCCGCGCGUGCGCGGCGGCCGGCUGAGGCGCGCCCCGCCCCACCCCGCCGCUGCGCUGCUCGGCCGCGUCCCUGCCCCGAGCUUCCGCCUCCCGGGAGUACCGCGCAUGCGCGCCGCGGCCCGCGCAUGCCCAGCGCGCGGCCGGGCUCGACCCACCGGGCUCGCGCUGGGGAGACGCCGGAGCCGGGCUGCGGGCGGCCGCGGGCGUGGCUGCGGCCCCGAACGGCAGCCCCGGGGGAAGCCCUGGCUGGGGGCGGGAGCGGCACCCGGCCAAGCGGACGCCCCGAGGCAGCAGCUCUGGGCCGACGGAGUUGAGGGGACUACGGGGGAGCCCUCGCACCCUUUCCCUGCCCGGAGCCCCAGACGCAGCCCUUCUGGAGGCACCGCUCCCCCGGUCGGCAGCCCCACAGCCGGUCCCCAGGGGCCGAGGCACGGGUGUGGAGCCCCGCUGUGUGCCCGCGCCGGCCCGGGUCCCCUCCAGGCUUCACGCCCACCCUACUGGGGACCCUUUGCAGAGAGGGAGCGGGUUCAGGGGCGUCAGAGCUAG
rnacentral:lncRNA from 1 species